GAUGAACGCUGGCGGCGUGCCUAAUACAUGCAAGUCGAGCGAACGGACGAGAAGCUUGCUUCUCUGAUGUUAGCGGCGGACGGGUGAGUAACACGUGGAUAACCUACCUAUAAGACUGGGAUAACUUCGGGAAACCGGAGCUAAUACCGGAUGAUAUUUUGAACCGCAUGGUUCAAAAGUGAAAGACGGUCUUGCUGUCACUUAUAGAUGGAUCCGCGCUGCAUUAGCUAGUUGGUAAGGUAACGGCUUACCAAGGCAACGAUGCAUAGCCGACCUGAGAGGGUGAUCGGCCACACUGGAAGUGAGAAACGGUCCAGACUCCUACGGGAGGCAGCAGUAGGGAAUCUUCCGCAAUGGGCGAAAGCCGGACGGAGCAACGCCGCGUGAGUGAUGAAGGUCUUCGGAUCGUAAAACUCUGUUAUUAGGGAAGAACAUAUGUGUAAGUAACUGUGCACAUCUUGACGGUACCUAAUCAGAAAGCCACGGCUAACUACGUG
rnacentral:rRNA from 1 species